rnacentral:rRNA from 1 species
GACGAACGCUGGCGGCGUGCUUAACACAUGAAAGUCGAACGGAAAGGCCCUGCUUUUGUGGGGUGCUCGAGUGGCGAACGGGUGAGUAACACGUGAGUAACCUGCCCUUGACUUUGGGAUAACUUCAGGAAACUGGGGCUAAUACCGGAUAGGAGCUUCUGAUGCAUGGUGGGGGUUGGAAAGUUUCGGCGGUUGGGGAUGGACUGGCGGCUUAUCAGCUCGUUGGUGGGGUAGUGGCUUACCAAGGCUUUGACGGGUAGCCGGCCUGAGAGGGUGACCGGCCACAUUGGGACUGAGAUACGGCCCAGACUCCUACGGGAGGCAGCAGUGGGGAAUAUUGCACAAUGGGCGGAAGCCUGAUGCAGCAACGCCGCGUGCGGGAUGACGGCCUUCGGGUUGUAAACCGCUUUCGCCUGUGACGAAGCGUGAGUGACGGUAAUGGGUAAAGAAGCACCGGCUAACUACGUG